rnacentral:rRNA from 1 species
AUGGCGUCGUUUACGAAUCUCUCCGUGCCACUUCUCUUGCUCACCAUCCUCUUUCCUACACUCGCACUGUGCUAUAUCAAUCCAGAUGCCACAAGCGUACACCAAAAUGCCACAAAAUCCUCUGCUUCCCGUGCUUACAUCGUGCUCGUAGAGCCACCGCGCUCGAAUGCCGGCGAAGACGCCCACCGCCAGUGGCACGAGUCUUUCUUGCCGACCUCGUUGGCGGAUGAGUCCAGCGAGUCGCGCCUUCUCCACUCCUACACAGAGGUGUUCAGCGGCUUCGCCGUGAGGCUCACCGACGCUGAGCUCGACGCUAUGGCUAAGAAGCCAGGGUUCGUGCGUGCAUUCCCGGACCGAACGCUGCAGCUCAUGACCACCCACACGCCGGAAUUCCUCGGGCUAAAGAACGGCACCGGGUUCUGGAGCCGGGCUGGCUACGGGAAGGGAGUCAUCAUUGGACUACUCGACACCGGUCUCUAUGCGAAGCACCCUUCCUUUGACGACCAUGGAGUUUCGCCACCCCCAACAAGGUGGAAGGGCUCGUGCAAGGCGGCCCGGUGCAACAACAAGCUCAUCGGUGCCAAGUCACUCAUUCAGGGUGAUGAAUUUGGUGACGAAGAGGGGCACGGCACGCACACCUCGUCCACUGCCGCCGGGAACUUCGUCACCGGCGCAUCAUACCAUGGUGCGGGCGUGGGCAAGGGCACCGCGGCUGGAAUUGCUCCUGGCGCUCACAUCGGCAUGUACAAGGUAUGCGCCAAUAGACGCUGUAAGCAAUCUGCCGUACUGGCAGGCCUAGAAGAGGCCAUCAAGGAUGGUGUGGACGUGCUCUCACUCUCCCUUGGCGGUGACACGAGUGCCAGCUUCGAUGACGACCCCAUUGCUAUCGGUGCAUUCAGUGCUGUGUCCAAGGGCAUCCUCGUGGUGUGCGCCGCCGGCAAUAGCGGUCCGAGGAUGGGCUCGAUCACCAACGAGGCGCCGUGGUUGCUCACGGUCGCCGCCGGCUCCGUGGAUCGGAGCUUUGCUGCUGGCCUGCAUCUCGGCAAUGGCAGGAGCAUCGACGGAGAAGCACUUACCCAGAAAGUGAGUCUGAGUUCAAAGUCACACCCUCUCCUCUACUCCGAGGAACGACGGAACUGCAAUUACAAGAGUGACAGUGGCAUCACCGGUAAGAUCUUGGUCUGCGAAGGCACUAGGUCGAAGACUCAACAGUCCAACAUCCACAGAAUAGUGGGUGCUGGUGCGGCUGGUGUGGUGCUGUUCAACGAUGAAAUCAGCGGCUACGCCACCAUGGUUCAGGAUUUCAACUCCAGUGUUGUACAGGUGAGCGCGGCCGACGGUGAUGUCCUCAUAGCUUAUGCCGCGUCAUCAGAGAGCAGCUCCAUGGCCUCUCUCAUCUACAACAACACACUGUUUGGUGUCCGUCCGGCCCCCGUUGUGCCCUUUUUCUCUUCCCGUGGUCCAAGCGUCGUCGCCCUCGGCAUCCUAAAGCCGGAUAUAUUGGCACCAGGCCUCAAUAUCCUGGCCGCGUGGCCGCCAAGCACGAGCUCUGGAAGGGGCCCUUUCAACAUCAUAUCAGGAACAUCCAUGGCGACGCCACACGUCAGUGGUGUCGCUGCACUUAUCAAAAGCAUCCAUCCUGACUGGUCGCCAGCCGCCAUCAAGUCUGCCAUCCUAACGACGUCGGACAUCGUUAAUAGCACUGGUGGCUCAAUCUUGGACGAGCAACAUAGGAAGGCCGGCGUGUACGACACAGGCGCCGGCCAUGUGAACCCGACCAGAGCCGCAGAUCCUGGCUUGGUGUACGACCUCAGUGUCACUGACUACGCCGGCUACAUCUGCUGGCUCCUAGGUGACAGCGGCCUAGCAACCAUCGUGCGCAACUCAAGCUUGACCUGUGCAAAGCUGCCCAAGGUCCACGCCGUGCAGCUUAACUACCCGACGAUAACCGUGUCAGCGACAUCGACGCCAUUCACAGUAAAGCGGACUGUGACAAACGUUGGGCCAGCAAACUCGACAUUCACAGUGAAGGUGGACGCGCCAAGAUCACUGACAGUGCGUGUCUCCCCGGAGACGCUGGCAUUCUCCAAAACCGGAGAGAAGAAGACCUUCAGCGUGUCCGUGAGCAGCCACGGCUUGAGCGAGGAACUGCACGUGGAGGGAAGCUUGAGCUGGGUAUCGGAGAAGCAUGUCGUGCGGAGCCCCAUUGUUGCUGUCUCCCCAAGAGGCGAUACUGCUCCAGACCCAUCACCAUGA